rnacentral:rRNA from 1 species
UGCAGUCGAGCGGAUGAAGGGAGCUUGCUCCUGGAUUCAGCGGCGGACGGGUGAGUAAUGCCUAGGAAUCUGCCUGGUAGUGGGGGAUAACGUCCGGAAACGGGCGCUAAUACCGCAUACGUCCUGAGGGAGAAAGUGGGGGAUCUUCGGACCUCACGCUAUCAGAUGAGCCUAGGUCGGAUUAGCUAGUUGGUGGGGUAAAGGCCUACCAAGGCGACGAUCCGUAACUGGUCUGAGAGGAUGAUCAGUCACACUGGAACUGAGACACGGUCCAGACUCCUACGGGAGGCAGCAGUGGGGAAUAUUGGACAAUGGGCGAAAGCCUGAUCCAGCCAUGCCGCGUGUGUGAAGAAGGUCUUCGGAUUGUAAAGCACUUUAAGUUGGGAGGAAGGGCAGUAAGUUAAUACCUUGCUGUUUUGACGUUACCAACAGAAUAAGCACCGGCUAACUUCGUGCCAGCAGCCGCGGUAAUACGAAGGGUGCAAGCGUUAAUCGGAAUUACUGGGCGUAAAGCGCGCGUAGGUGGUUCAGCAAGUUGGAUGUGAAAUCCCCGGGCUCAACCUGGGAACUGCAUCCAAAACUACUGAGCUAGAGUACGGUAGAGGGUGGUGGAAUUUCCUGUGUAGCGGUGAAAUGCGUAGAUAUAGGAAGGAACACCAGUGGCGAAGGCGACCACCUGGACUGAUACUGACACUGAGGUGCGAAAGCGUGGGGAGCAAACAGGAUUAGAUACCCUGGUAGUCCACGCCGUAAACGAUGUCGACUAGCCGUUGGGAUCCUUGAGAUCUUAGUGGCGCAGCUAACGCGAUAAGUCGACCGCCUGGGGGAGUACGGCCGCAAGGUUAAAACUCAAAUGAAUUGACGGGGGCCCGCACAAGCGGUGGAAGCAUGUGGUUUAAUUCGAAGCAACGCGAAGAACCUUACCUGGCCUUGACAUGCUGAGAACUUUCCAAAGAUGGAUUGGUGCCUUCGGGAACUCAGACCAGGUGCUGCAUGGCUG